UCCACCCCAACUGCUCACUUCGAGCUCUCCCCUUGGACAGCAUGCCAAAUGUGCUUACUAUUUGCUCAGUUUGAUUAUAUGGUGAGGCUGAGACAACGUGCUGGGAGGAAGACAGAAUAAUGAUGGCAGACGACUGGGAUUGGUUCAACAAACAUGUUGGUAGAGCAGGGUUAGUAGCCAGCAGCAUAUCUCCACCCAUAAUUUAGGCUUUUUGCAAACAUGACCCUGUUUUACUUAGUGUCAUAAAUCAUAGA